rnacentral:rRNA from 1 species
GGGCAACCCUGGUGGCGAGUGGCGAACGGGUGAGUAAUACAUCGGAACGCGUCCUAUCGUGGGGGAUAACCAGUCGAAAGACUGGCUAAUACCGCAUGAGAUCGAGAGAUGAAAGCGGGGGACCGCAAGGCCUCGCGCGAUUGGAGCGGCCGAUGUCGGAUUAGCUAGUUGGCGGGGUAAUAGCCCACCAAGGCGACGAUCCGUAGCUGGUCUGAGAGGACGACCAGCCACACUGGGACUGAGACACGGCCCAGACUCCUACGGGAGGCAGCAGUGGGGAAUUUUGGACAAUGGGCGAAAGCCUGAUCCAGCCAUGCCGCGUGUGUGAAGAAGGCCUUCGGGUUGUAAAGCACUUUCGGACGGAACGAAAUCGCGCGGGCGAAUAUCCCGCGUGGAUGACGGUACCGUAAGAAGAAGCACCGGCUAACUACGUGCCAGCAGCCGCGGUAAUACGUAGGGUGCGAGCGUUAAUCGGAAUUACUGGGCGUAAAGCGUGCGCAGGCGGUUUCGCAAGUCAGACGUGAAAGCCCCGAGCUUAACUUGGGAACUGCAUUUGAAACUGGUCGACUAGAGUCUUGUAGAGGGGGGUAGAAUUCCAGGUGUAGCGGUGAAAUGCGUAGAGAUCUGGAG